AGUGAACGCUGGCGGUAGGCCUAACACAUGCAAGUCGAACGGCAGCACAGUAAGAGCUUGCUCUUACGGGUGGCGAGUGGCGGACGGGUGAGGAAUACAUCGGAAUCUACUUUUUCGUGGGGGAUAACGUAGGGAAACUUACGCUAAUACCGCAUACGACCUACGGGUGAAAGCAGGGGAUCUUCGGACCUUGCGCGAUUGAAUGAGCCGAUGUCGGAUUAGCUAGUUGGCGGGGUAAAGGCCCACCAAGGCGACGAUCCGUAGCUGGUCUGAGAGGAUGAACAGCCACACUGGAACUGAGGCACGGUCCCGACUCCUACGGGAGGGAGCAGUGGGGAAUAUUGGACAAUGGGCGCAAGCCUGAUCCAGCCAUACCGCGUGGGUGAAGAAGGCCUUCGGGUUGUAAAGCCCUUUUGUUGGGAAAGAAAAGCAGCAGGUUAAUACCCCGCUGUUCUGACGGUACCCAAAGAAUAAGCACCGGCUAACUUCGUG
rnacentral:rRNA from 1 species